rnacentral:snRNA from 1 species
GUGCUUGCUUCAGUGGCACAUAUACUAAAAUUGGAAUGAUACGGGAAGAUUAGCAGGGCCCCUGCACAAGGAUGACAUGCAAAUUUGUGAAGCAUUCCGUAUUUUU